GAAUGAAAGAGUAAACUGGAAAAAAAUUUUCAGAAAUAAGAAAAUGAAGUUAACUUUUUAGUAAGAAGGCUAAAAUUUUUCUUAAAGACGAGAAGNCCCUAUAAAACUUUAUAUUUUUUUAUUUUAGAAAGUAAUUAAAUAUUUUACUGGGGCGGUAGGAAAAAUUAUCUUUUCUUCUCUAAAUGAAACAAUUAUGUUUUUAUAUCUAAAAAUUUUAAAAGAAGAAUAAGUUACUUUAGGGAUAACAGCUUAAUUCACUUAAAAAGUUCUAAUUGACAAGUGAGAUUAUGACCUCGAUGUUGAAUUAAAAU
rnacentral:rRNA from 1 species